AACGAACGCUGGCGGCAGGCUUAACACAUGCAAGUCGAGCGCCCCGCAAGGGGAGCGGCAGACGGGUGAGUAACGCGUGGGAAUCUACCCAUCUCUACGGAAUAACGCAGGGAAACGUGUGCUAAUACCGUAUGCGUCCUUCGGGAGAAAGAUUUAUCGGAGAUGGAUGAGCCCGCGUUGGAUUAGCUAGUUGGUGGGGUAAAGGCCUACGACGGCGACGAUACAGAGCUGGUCUGAGAGGAUGAUCAGCCACACUGGGACUGAGACACGGCCCAGACUCCUACGGGAGGCAGCAGUGGGGAAUAUUGGACAAUGGGCGCAAGCCUGAUCCAGCCAUGCCGCGUGAGUGAUGAAGGCCCUAGGGUUGUAGAGCUCUUUCACCGGUGAAGAUAAUGACGGUAACCGGAGAAGAAGCCCCGGCUAACUUCGUGCCAGCCGCCGCAGUAACAC
rnacentral:rRNA from 1 species